CGUCUCAGUUCGGAUUGUAGUCUGCAACUCGACUACAUGAAGCUGGAAUCGCUAGUAAUCGCAGAUCAGAAUGCUGCGGUGAAUACGUUCCCGGGUCUUGUACACACCGCCCGUCACACCAUGGGAGUCGGAAAUGCCCGAAGCCGGUGAACCAAAACCAAUAAAGGAAGGAGCCGUCGAAGGCAGGUCUGAUAACUGGGGUGAAGUCGUAACAAGGUAAC
rnacentral:rRNA from 1 species